AGAGUUUGAUCCUGGCUCAGGACGAACGCUGGCGGCGUGCUUAACACAUGCAAGUCGAGCGAUGAAGCUUCCUUCGGGAAGUGGAUUAGCGGCGGACGGGUGAGUAACACGUGGGUAACCUGCCUCAAAGUGGGGGAUAGCCUUCCGAAAGGAAGAUUAAUACCGCAUAAUAUAAGAGAAUCGCAUGAUUUUCUUAUGAAAGAUUUAUUGCUUUGAGAUGGACCCGCGGCGCAUUAGCUAGUUGGUAAGGUAAUGGCUUACCAAGGCAACGAUGCGUAGCCGACCUGAGAGGGUGAUCGGCCACAUUGGAACUGAGACACGGUCCAGACUCCUACGGGAGGCAGCAGUGGGGAAUAUUGCGCAAUGGGGGAAACCCUGACGCAGCAACGCCGCGUGGGUGAUGAAGGUCUUCGGAUUGUAAAGCCCUGUUUUCUAGGACGAUAAUGACGGUACUAGAGGAGGAAGCCACGGCUAACUACGUGCCAGCAGCCGCGGUAAUACGUAGGUGGCGAGCGUUGUCCGGAUUUACUGGGCGUAAAGGGUGCGUAGGCGGAUGUUUAAGUGGGAUGUGAAAUCCCCGGGCUUAACCUGGGGGCUGCAUUCCAAACUGGAUAUCUAGAGUGCAGGAGAGGAAAGCGGAAUUCCUAGUGUAGCGGUGAAAUGCGUAGAGAUUAGGAAGAACACCAGUGGCGAAGGCGGCUUUCUGGACUGUAACUGACGCUGAGGCACGAAAGCGUGGGUAGCAAACAGGAUUAGAUACCCUGGUAGUCCACGCCGUAAACGAUGGAUACUAGGUGUAGGGGGUAUCAACUCCCCCUGUGCCGCAGUUAACACAAUAAGUAUCCCGCCUGGGGAGUACGGUCGCAAGAUUAAAACUCAAAGGAAUUGACGGGGGCCCGCACAAGCAGCGGAGCAUGUGGUUUAAUUCGAAGCAACGCGAAGAACCUUACCUGGACUUGACAUCCCUUGCAUAGCCUAGAGAUAGGUGAAGCCCUUCGGGGCAAGGAGACAGGUGGUGCAUGGUUGUCGUCAGCUCGUGUCGUGAGAUGUUAGGUUAAGUCCUGCAACGAGCGCAACCCUUGUUAUUAGUUGCUACCAUUAAGUUGAGCACUCUAAUGAGACUGCCUGGGUAACCAGGAGGAAGGUGGGGAUGACGUCAAAUCAUCAUGCCCCUUAUGUCCAGGGCUACACACGUGCUACAAUGGUAGGUACAAUAAGACGCAAGACCGUGAGGUGGAGCAAAACUUAUAAAACCUAUCUCAGUUCGGAUUGUAGGCUGCAACUCGCCUACAUGAAGCUGGAGUUGCUAGUAAUCGCGAAUCAGAAUGUCGCGGUGAAUACGUUCCCGGGCCUUGUACACACCGCCCGUCACACCAUGAGAGCUGGUAACACCCGAAGUCCGUGAGGUAACCGUAAGGAGCCAGCGGCCGAAGGUGGGAUUAGUGAUUGGGGUGAAGUCGUAACAAGGUAGCCGUAGGAGAACCUGCGGCUGGAUCACCUCC
rnacentral:rRNA from 1 species